AUGAUUAUUGCAGGAGAGAUAUUCUUGCAAAGGAUACGCCGAAGGAGCAACGACCCCGGAAACUCUCAGGCAGAAGGACUGUAAUAAUCGA
rnacentral:ncRNA from 3 species